rnacentral:rRNA from 1 species
UACGAAGGGGGCUAGCGUUGUUCGGAAUCACUGGGCGUAAAGGGCGCGUAGGCGGCUUUAUAAGUCGGGGGUGAAAGCCUGUGGCUCAACCACAGAAUUGCCUUCGAUACUGUAGAGCUUGAGACCGGAAGCGGUAAGUGGAACUGCGAGUGUAGAGGUGAAAUUCGUAGAUAUUCGCAAGAACACCAGUGGCGAAGGCGGCUUACUGGUCCGGUUCUGACGCUGAGGCGCGAAAGCGUGGGGAGCAAACGGG